AAGCGCUUGCGACCAGACUCGCGCCCCGUGGAUCAUCCGGCGUUCUCGCCGGUGCACUCUGCGGGGCUCGGGCCAGCAUCGGUUCGCCCAGGGGGAUAAAAGCUUUGGGAAUGUAGCUUCUUUCGGGGAGUGUUAUAGCCCUCGGUGCAAUGCCGCCUACCUGGACCGAGGACCGCGCUUCGGCUAGGAUGCUGGCGUAAUGGUUGUAAGCGA
rnacentral:rRNA from 1 species